CUGGCGGCGUGCCUAAUACAUGCAAGUCGAGCGAACAGAGAAGGAGCUUGCUCCUUCGACGUUAGCGGCGGACGGGUGAGUAACACGUGGGCAACCUACCUUAUAGUUUGGGAUAACUCCGGGAAACCGGGGCUAAUACCGAAUAAUCUGUUUCACCUCAUGGUGAAACACUGAAAGACGGUUUCGGCUGUCGCUAUAGGAUGGGCCCGCGGCGCAUUAGCUAGUUGGUGAGGUAACGGCUCACCAAGGCGACGAUGCGUAGCCGACCUGAGAGGGUGAUCGGCCACACUGGGACUGAGACACGGCCCAGACUCCUACGGGAGGCAGCAGUAGGGAAUCUUCCACAAUGGGCGAAAGCCUGAUGGAGCAACGCCGCCGUGAGUGAAGAAGGAUUUCGGUUCGUAAAACUCUGUUGUAAGGGAAGAACAAGUACAGUAGUAACUGGCUGUACCUUGACGGUACCUUAUUAGAAAGCCACGGCUAAAUACGUGCCAGCCGCAGC
rnacentral:rRNA from 1 species